rnacentral:rRNA from 1 species
UACGAAGGGGGCUAGCGUUGCUCGGAAUCACUGGGCGUAAAGCGCACGUAGGCGGGUCGUUAAGUCAGGGGUGAAUCCUGGAGCUCAACUCCAGAACUGCCCUUGAUACUGGCGAUCUCGAGUUCGGGAGAGGUGAGUGGAACUGGCGAGUGUAGAGGUGAAAUUCGUAGAUAUUCGCAAGAACACCAGUGGCGAAGGCGGCUCACGUGGCCCGACUACUGACGCUGAGGUGCGAAAGCGUGGG